rnacentral:rRNA from 1 species
CGGGACGGGUGAGUAAUGUCUGGGAAACCGGCCUGAUGGAGGGGGGUAACUACUGGAAACGGUAGCUAAUACCGCAUAACAUCGCAAGACCAAAGAGGGGGACCUUAGGGCCUCUUGCCAUCGGAUGUGCCCAGAUGGGAUUAGCUAGUAGGUGGGGGAAGGGCUCACCUAGGCGACGAUCCCUAGCUGGUCUGAGAGGAUGACCAGCCACACUGGAACUGAGACACGGUCCAG